CCUCAUUUGGGUUGAGGAUUAGUUAUGUUCGAAUCAUAAUGACCCGAUUUAAUUUUUAUUAACAUUUAAGAGAAAGUAUCUCUUUAUAUAGAUAUGUAAUCUAUUACUUUAUUUUUUAUUGUUAAAAAAUAACAAGUAUACAAAGAAACUAUUAGAAAUUUUCUAUAUAUCAAAGGAAAUAUCCUUAAACAAAUUAAAUUACCUAAACUAAGUGAAUUGAAGUAUCUUAAUAGCUUAAGGAAUAUAAAUCAAACGAGAUUCUAUCAAAAAUGUGAAUUGCGAUAGAAUAAAAGUAAAAUAGCGCCUGGUACCUAACGGUAAGGCUUUUACUUUUAAAGCUUAUGUUGAUAAACUUAUGUCAUGCGUAAGUAUGAAUGUGUUUUAUCAGCGUUAUACUAAAAAUUAAAAUGGAAUAUGAUUCUAUUUGAAUAUAGGGGAACCUUCCUCUAAAGCUAAAUAUGAUAUAUAAGAUAUAGUGUAUAGUACCGUGAGGGAACAAAAAAAGUAGUUUUAUAAGCAGCUCAAUAAAGUAAACAUUAAAGAGCGUACCUUUUGCAUAAUGGGUCAGCAAGUUAAUUUUAGAUGCAAGCAUAGAAAGACAAUUGCCUAAUUAAAUUGAUAAACAGUGUCUAGAAUUAGACCCGAAGCCUAGUGAUCUUACUAUAAUCAGGAAAAAUCAAAAAGUCCGAACGGAUUAUCGUAGUAAAGAUAUCCGAUGAAUUAUGGUAAGUUAGUGAAAGACAAAACUGACUAGGAUAGCUGGUUUUCUGCGAAACCUAUUUAAGUAGGUCGUUUAAUAAAUAUCUUAGUAGGUACAGUAUUUAUUCACGGUAAUUUAAAAUAAAAUUUUUAUUUUAUUUUACAUAUAUUAGGGGAUCGUGAAGAUUUUACUAGAGUGUAUUAGAUCUCGGAAGGACAAAGAUAAAUAUUAAACAAUCAGACAUAGUACGAUAAGGUUGUAUGUCAAAAGGGAAACAGCCCAGAACAAGUGUUUAAGGUUCCAAAAUUAUUGUUAAGUGAAAAAGAGGAAGUUUUUUUCUUUGGCGAUUAUCCGCUAAGGAAAAGCAUAUACAAUCAGGAAAUAGGCUUAGAAGCGGCCAUUUUUUAAAGACCUCGUAACAGAGCACUGAUCUAAUAUUUAAAAUAAUGUAAUACAUUAUUUUAAGUAGUAAAAGGCGUCGAUGAUAUAACGGAUCUAAACAAUAUACCAAUACCUUGUAUAAAUAUAUUAUAUUAAUACAAUAUAUUGUAUUUAUAGUAGCAGAACGUAGAGUAUGUAGAAUUAUUUUAUUAGUAUAUAAAGUAAAUAUAUCUCUAGUGAUAAUGCUGGCAUGAGUAGCGAAAAGAAAAGAUUUAUCUUUCCACCUAAAGCUUAUGGAAUUUAUUAAGAACAGACUCUAAGUUUAUUUACCUAAAGGGUUAAACGAUGAAUAUAUAUAAAAAUACAAAUAGUUUUUAACGUCUCACACACCUUACGAUGAGUAUGGUGCUAGACGCUUAGUUAAAAAAACUCUGGAAACAAUUUUAUAAGAACUGUACCUAAAAUCUAACACAAGUAAGCUAGUAGAGAAUACGAAGGUGUUUGAGCUAACAAUCAUUAAGGAACUCGGCAAAUUGACUCCGUAACUUCGGGAGAAGGUGGGCCACUUUGCAUUAAAAUAAGUGCAAAAUAGGAGGCAUAGAAUGGUGUUGUACGACUGUUUAAUUAAAACAAAGCACUUUGCUAAAGAUGUAAAAUCGAAAUAUUGAGUGUGAUUUCUGCCCUAUAUCGGCUGGUUAACGAAUUUACCUAGUCAACUAACAUAGGCUAAGUUUUGAAGGAACCCCCGAUCAAUGGCGGCCUUACCUAUAAGGGUCUUAAGGUAGCGGAAUACCUUGGCCGUUAAAUGCGGUCUUGCAUGAACGAUGUAACGAUACAACAGCUGUCUCAAAGAUUGGCUCAGCGAAAUUGGAAUAGCAGUGCAGAUACUGUUUACCUCUAGUUAGACGAGAAGACCCUAUGCAGCUUUACUGUUACUAAUUAUUAAAUAUAAUAAAACAAGUUUAAGAGUAAAAGGUAAUUUUUUAGAUAAUAAUGAAACACCUUUACUAUAGUUGAUUAUAUUCUCUAUUCUUCUAUAUUAUUCAUACACUGUAUGGUGAAAGAAUGAAAACAGUUGUUAGUAGACGGUUUAUGCGGGGCACAGAUCCCAUAAAGAGUACCUGGGUAUAUCCAAAGUUAAUACGUAAUAUUUGUUAUUUAUAUAACAAGUAAAGAUAAUAGUAUAAAAUGCGUUUUGUAGCUAUUAUAUUUAUUCAAUUAUUAAUUUUUGAUUUAUUUUAUACUUUUAGUAUAACUAAUAGAAUCCAAUUACUAUUCUAUUUAAUUAGAAGAUUUUUUUUAGAUAAGUAAGAUUUUAAUUAUAAUGAAAAUAAUUAUAAAUAAUAGUUAUAGAUAGCGCUUACAGCGUUAACUUAUGAUAUUGAUAUUUAUAUAAAAAGUUUAAUGGCUAAAUCUUGCUUUACUGUUUGAUAUACAAAUCUUUCAGUCGCGUAAGCGGGGCAUAUGAUCACAAGAUUCAGAAAGGAAAGGUCUUGGGUUAUUGAAUAAGCUACGCUAGGGAUAACAGGCUGAUUGCGCCAGAGAGUACAAAUUGAGUGCGCAGUUUGGCACCUCGAUGUCGGCUUAACUCAUCCACAUGAAUGCAAGAGUCAUGAAGGGUUUGACUGUUCGUCAAUUAAAGAGUUACACGAGCUGGGUUAAAUACGUCGUGAGACAGUAUGGUUUCUAUCUUCUAGAGGAAAUUAGAGUAAAAUAAGAAUAGCCCCUUCGUACGAAAGGAGUUGGGUAUGUUAAUCCCUGGUUUACCUGUUGUUUGAAUAUAAACAAAUAUUAAUACGUUUGUCGUAAGACAAUAGCGGUUUAUUGUAUUACUUAAACUAAAGUAAUAAUGUUAUCAUGUAAUGCACAUCGCUGUGAUAAUAACUGUAUUUGGGCAUGGCAGGAAAGCUACAUUAAUUAAAAAUAAGUGUUGAAUGCAUAUAGGCACGAAGUUUAUUUUAGGAUACUCUUAAAUAUACGUAUUAUAUUA
rnacentral:rRNA from 1 species